rnacentral:misc_RNA from 1 species
UCCGGCUUUUCGCCGACAGUUCCCCUAGGGUGCUCAGCUUGACCUGUUAGCAACUAAGGGCAAGGGUUGCGCUCGUUGCGGGACUUAACCCAACAUCUCACGACACGAGCUGACGACAGCCAUGCAGCACCUCGAUAACCGUCUCCGAAGAGAACCCUGCGUUUCCGCAGGUAGCAGUUACCGUUCGAGCCCCGGUAAGGUUCUUCGCGUUGCGUCGAAUUGAACCACAUGCUCCACCGCUUGUGCGGGCCCCCGUCAAUUCCUUUGAGUUUCAGUCUUGCGACCGUACUCCCCAGGCGGGGCACUUAACGUGUUAACUCCGGCACUGGGGGACUCAAUACCCCCAACACCAAGUGCCCAUCGUUUACGGCUAGGACUAC